CGGAAGGGCACAGAUUUUGAAAUCCCCCCGGGGAGUUGUAAUUUGAAGAUUGCGUCUUGGAGGCGACCGUGUCUAUGUUCCUUGGAACAGGACGUCACAGAGGGUGAGAAUCCCGUGCGGCACGGCCCCCGGCUCCUUAUAAGGCGCUCUCGACGAGUCGAGUUGUUUGGGAAUGCAGCUCAAAGUGGGUGGUAAAUUCCAUCUAAAGCUAAAUACAGGCGAGAGACCGAUAGCGAACAAGUACAGUGAUGGAAAGAUGAAAAGCACUUUGAAAAGAGAGUGAAACAGCACGUGAAAUUGUUGAAAGGGAAGGGCAUGCCGUCAGAUUGUCAGUGUGGGUAAGAAGCGGGGUACAAAGACUGUGGAACGUGGCCCUCGGGUGUUAUAGCCGCAGUUCAUGCCCCGUCUCUUUCCGAGGCCUGCUUUGAGGACACCGACGUAAUGACGGUACGCCGC
rnacentral:rRNA from 1 species